GGCACUGUGGCGGAGUGGUUAACGCGACAGAUUAGAAAUCUGUUCCUCUUGUAGGGCGCAUGUUCGAAUCAUGCCAGUGUCG